rnacentral:rRNA from 1 species
UUAAUAGUUAAGUUCUUUAAAUUUAAAAAAUUUGGCGGUAUUUUAGUCUUAUUAGAGGAACCUGUUUAAUGAUUGAUAAUCCACGAUUAAUUUUACUUAUUUUAAUUAAUUCAUAUAUCGCUGUCAUGAAUAUAUUUAAAAAUUUAUUUUCUUUAUUUAUUUUUUUAAUUUAUGUUAAGUCAAGAUGUGGUUUAUAAAUAAGAAUAUAAUGGGUUACAAUAAAUUUAAUUUUUAGAUUUUAAAUGAAAAUUAAAAUGAAAUUGGAUUUAAUAGUAAAUUUAUUUAUUUAAUUAAUAUGAAUAAAGAUCUAAAAUAUGUACAUAUUGCCCGUCAUUCUUAUUAAAAAUAAGACAAGUCGUAACAAAGUAAGUGUACUGGAAAGUGUAUUUAGAAAGAUUUAUUUAAAAA